rnacentral:tRNA from 1 species
CGCGGGGUAGUAGCAGUUGGUAGCUCACGAGGCUCAUAACCUUGAGGUCGCAGGUUCGAGUCCUGCCCCCGCAA